rnacentral:rRNA from 1 species
AAUGGGGGAGACCCUGACCCAGCGACGCCGCGUGAGGGAUGAAGGCCCUUGGGUCGUAAACCUCUUUUGCAGGGGAAGAAGCAGAUGACGGUACCUUGCGAAUAAGUCCCGGCUAACUACGUGCCAGCAGCCUCGGUAACACGUAGCGCGGGAGCAUUGUCCGGACUUACUGGGCCUAAAGGGCCCGCAGCAUGUCCGUCGAGUCGGCUGUUGAAAGGCGGGGCUCAACCCCGCGAAGUAAUCGAGACCGGCGUGCUGCAUGAGAUUCGCUACAACAAACAUUCCCGGUGUAGCGGUACGGAUCGCUUGAAUAGGGAAGAACACCGGUGGCGAAGGCGGCCUGCUGGGCAGUUACUGACGCUGAGGCGCGAGAGCC